CGAAAGCCUGACGGAGCAAUGCCGCGUGGAGGAUGAAGGCCCGUGGGUCGUAAACUCCUUUUCUCAGAGAAGAAGCUCUGACGG
rnacentral:rRNA from 2 species